UUUUUUGAGACAGAGUCUCUCACUCUGUCACCCAGGCUGGAGUGCAGUGGCGCGAUCUCGGCUCACUGCAAACUCCGUCUCCCAGGUUCACACCAUUCUCCUGCCUCAGCCUCCCAAGUAGCUGGGACUACAGGCGGCUGCCACCACGCCCAGCUAAAUCAAUGAUAUCCUUUCUUCUGCUUGAUCAAAUCGGCUAUUGAAGCUUGUAUGUGCUUCACGAAGUUCUCGUACUGUGGUUUUCAGCACCAUCAGGUCAUUUAAGCUCUUCUCUACACUGGUUAUUCUAGUUAACCAUUCGUCUAAACUUUUUUCAAGGUUUUUAGCUUCCUUGCGAUGGGUAGAACAUCCUCCUUUAACUCACAGAAGUUUGUUAUUACCGACCUUCUGAAGCCAACUUCUGUCAUCUCGUCAAACUCAUUCUCCAUCCAGUUUUCUUCCCUUGCUGGUGAGGAGUUGUGUUCCUUUGGAAGAGAAGAGGUGUUCUGGUUUUUGGAAUUUUCAGCCUUUCUGCUCUGGUUUCUCCCCAUCUCUGUGGUUUUAUCU
rnacentral:lncRNA from 1 species